rnacentral:rRNA from 1 species
GAUGAACGCUGGCGGCGUGCCUAAUACAUGCAAGUCGAGCGAACAGACGAGUGGCUUGAUCCUCUGGCGUUAGCGGCGGACGGGUGAGUUACACCUGGAUAACCUACCUAUAGGACUGGGAUACCUUCGAAGCCCCGGUACUACUACCUGCUAAUAUCUUGAGCAGCAUGGUUCACUUGUGGACGCCGGCUUUGCUGUUACUUGUUGAUUGAUCCGCGCCGCAUUAGCUAGUUGGUCAGGUAACGGCUUACCAAGGCAACGAUGAGUAGCCGAGCUGAGAGGACGAUCGGCCACACUGGAACUGAGACACGGCCCAGACUCCUACGGGAGGCAGCAGUAGGGAAUCUUCCGCAAUGGGCGAAAGCCUGACCGAGCAACGCCGCGUGAGUGAUGAAGGUCUUCGGGUUGUAAAACUCUUUUAUUAGGGAAGAACACAUGUGUAAGUAAAUGGGCGGGGCAUGACGGUACCUAAACAGAAAGCACCGGCUAACUACGUG